UCCAUAAGGAGAUGGUAAAUGUAAUGGGAAUAUCUAAAAGAAUAAUAUUCUACAAGCCAAUUGCAUAUAUGAUGCGAUAGGAUAUUUAUUAUAAUUUAUCUUUCAAACUCAUGUAAAUUGAUAUUUAUAUUAAUAAAAUAGAUAUUUUUUGAUUCAUUAUAUGCUACAUCUUGUUGUUCUUAAGCUUGCAAUGAACCCCAU
rnacentral:lncRNA from 1 species